rnacentral:rRNA from 1 species
UGGGGAAUUUUGGACAAUGGGCGCAAGCCUGAUCCAGCCAUGCCGCGUGCGGGAAGAAGGCCUUCGGGUUGUAAACCGCUUUUGUCAGGGAAGAAAUCUUCUGAGUUAAUACCUCGGGAGGAUGACGGUACCUGAAGAAUAAGCACCGGCUAACUACGUGCCAGCAGCCGCGGUAAUACGUAGGGUGCAAGCGUUAAUCGGAAUUACUGGGCGUAAAGCGUGCGCAGGCGGUUUUGUAAGACAGAGGUGAAAUCCCCGGGCUCAACCUGGGAACUGCCUUUGUGACUGCAAGGCUUGAGUGCGGCAGAGGGGGGAUGGAAUUCCGCGUGUAGCAGUGAAAUGCGUAGAUAUGCGGAGGAACACCGAUGGCGAAGGCAAUCCCCUGGGCCUGCACUGACGCUCAUGCACGAAAGCGUGGGGAGCAAACAGGAUUAGAUAGCCCCUGGUAGUCCACGCCCUAAAACGAUGUCAACUGGUUGUUGGGAAGGUUCCUUCUCAGUAACGUAGCUAACGCGUGAAGUUGACCGCCUGGGGAGUACGGCCGCAAGGUUGAAACUCAAAUGAAUUGAC